CGCCAACAAUACUCGCGUCGUGCCGUGAGAAGGAGGAAUUAUCAAAGGUUAUAUUUUCCAUUCUAUGUGUAGUUAUAUUCAUCUUUGAGGUUGUGGAGCGCGCAUAUAACCACCGGCUAGUAUAUAUCACCGCUAUGCGCCACAUAAACCGAGACAAAGUGGUCGUUACACAUACGCUAUACCGAGGUUGCUGGUAGGCGUGCCGUUCAUUUUUUUUUAUUGUUAUCACGCUUCUCAGUUCUCAAGGCGAAAAUUCGUAAUUUCAAACCUGAGAUAAAUCACGGCGUCUGGGUGUUGCCCACCACCUCAAAAAGGGUGCUGCGUAUUCACCGCUUUUCUAUUGGAAAUUUUGAGUGAUCGUGGGAAUCAAUUUUUUCCCGAUAAUCCAUAAUUCCAUUGCUCCGAUGAGGUUGGAGUUGGGUGAAAGUUGCCGCUCGAAAAAAAAAAAAAAUACAGAAUUGAGAAUGCAAUGUCUUCGUCAGGAGCGUGCAGCAUCACAAUUCAGAGAUCCGUAUUCCCAAACAUCAUGACCGUGCCAUUUUAUUUUUCAUCGUUCUAAGCACCUCUAAAAAUAACCUCAGCAGAAUGGUUGGGCCGCAAAGAUCAAGGUCUCUUUCAUCAGUUUUCUUUCAAAACUUAUUGUUUGUUUGAAUUUGUUUUUCUUUUGUCAAAAUUUACUGGCUCGGCUUUUUGGCGAAGGGGACUGUGUUGACGACGAGAUACAAAUUAUUGAAAAAAAGGAAAAAUUCUUUAGCAUUUUUGGUGAUGGGGUUAUGGUAUGUUUCCAGCGAGAAGCCAAACUAAAGACAAAAUGUGUAUCUGAAAAACAACACAAAAUACGCGGGAGGUGAAAGGUUAUUCAAUUUUUCUUUGCUUUUAUAUUUUAAUUUCUUUUAAUUUUGAAAAUUAUCCCGUUUUAUUCUCGUUAUAUAACCUUCUCUCCUUCGCCUACUUCUCUUUUAAGUGCCUUUUAUAUAUUUGGCUUUGCAUCAUAUGCUGCAGUACGCAAUUGACUUUUUUUCAUUUCUUUGGUUUAUCUCUCCCAGCAGUUUUUGUUGUUGUUAAUUUCUGUCACAUAUUUCUUCGGCUUUAUCUUCACUCAUUUGUAUCCAUUCUUCCCUUCUUUGAUGAUCGCUGCACAAUUUGAACUGCUGUCUUCUUGGUUUGAUUCAUAUCCUUGCCCAUUUAAGGGACGUGAUUCACGAACGAAGAAGAAAACAAAAAUUAGAUUGUCUUGCGCGUCGUACAUACCGCGUAAUACUCUCGUUUGGGUAUUAAAGCAAAAUUACCCGACAGUUUUGUUUCAUAAUUAUUUCACCUUCCAUCCGCAUCUUAAUCUCUAUUUUGUAAAUUACACUGCAUA